AUCGCUUCUCGGCCUUUUGGCUAAGAUCAAGUGUAGAAUUUCUACAUUCCGACGGGGUCAUCUUUCUUUGGAAUGUGUAACAAAUAUAUGGCUCUCCUCCAGUUGGCUGGCCAAGCAGUGGUCUUUCUUGGCCUAGAUGAAUGUGCACGUCCAGUGCUUCCUGGGCUUGCGGAAGCAUUCCA